GAUGAACGCUGGCGGCGUGCCUAAUACAUGCAAGUCGAGCGAACAGACGAGGAGCUUGCUCCUCUGACGUUAGCGGCGGACGGGUGAGUAACACGUGGAUAACCUACUUAUAAGACUGGGAUAACUUCGGGAAACCGGAGCUAAUACCGGAUAAUAUAUUGAACCGCAUGGUUCAAUAGUGAAAGACGGUUUUGCUGUCACUUAUAGAUGGAUCCGCGCCGCAUUAGCUAGUUGGUAAGGUAACGGCUUACCAAGGCAACGAUGCGUAGCCGACCUGAGAGGAUGAUCGGCCACACUGGAACUGAGACACGGUCCAGACUCCUACGGGAGGCAGCAGUAGGGAAUCUUCCGCAAUGGGCGAAAGCCUGACGGAGCAACGCCGCGUGAGUGAUGAAGGUCUUCGGAUCGUAAAACUCUGUUAUUGGGGAAGAACAGAUGUGUAAGUAACUAUGCACGUCUUGACGGUACCUAAUCAGAAAGCCACGGCUAACUACGUG
rnacentral:rRNA from 1 species